UCCACACAGCAAGUAUCUUGGUGGAUUUAACUUCUCAUUUGAAUGUGUUGAAUCGGAACCUACAGGGAAAAGAAAUACUCCAAUUUCACUUUUGGAAGUUCUUUCAUUUGAAUGAAAGCUGUCUUUGUUUUCAAGGGACAUUGAGAUGGGUAUGUUAGUGCAUUUCUCAACACUGAAGCAAUUCAAACAAAUGACUGACAUUGACGUUAGGUUCCUUGCAGAAACAGGCAUCAAAAUGCAAGCUGCAUUUGCUGACCAAUUUCAUGAGUUCAGAAGAGAAAAGGCCACUUUGUCAUUUCUGUUGAAACUGCUUGAAGCUGACACUUCUGCAUUGAAUUUUUCAGCAUUUGCGUGAAUCGAUCGAGCACAAUUUGAACUUGAAUUAGCGGACUUGCAAGACAAGGAUUUAUGGAAUUCAAAAUUGAAAGAUUUGUCACUGAACUUGAAACUCUGGAAAGGCAGAAAUCCACUCUGGGGCUACAACACAAGUGGUCUGAAAUGGACAACCUUAAAUGGCAAGAUCAGAUUAUAUUCAACGUUUGGAAUUGUCUACCAGAUACAGUCAGCUGAAGAAGUACUCAUUCGGGCUUCUCUCAAUCUCUGGUUCAAUGUACUACUUUGAACAAGUGUUUUCCAACAUGAAUUUAAUCAAAAACAAACUAAGGAGCCAAGUGCAAGAUGCUAAUCUUGAGUCCUGCUUGAAAAUGAAAUGAUGGCAUAUUCACUGGACAUUGAGCAACUCUCUAAAGAUGUUCAACAGCAGAAAUCGCAUUAAAGGUAUUGGUGUCAUGGGAUUUUUCUGGACUUGACCCAAACCUACCUAGUAUAAUUCUGUUCCAGCUUUGUUAGAAGACCCUCCAUUAUGCAACUGAUUUUUGUUUUGGUCACUGAAACAGAGGGACACUGAAGAACAUGCAUGAGGAUCUUGUUUCUGCAAUUAAUAAAAUAGUCUUCAGAAAGACUGAGUUACUGACAGUAACCUGAGUGAGGAAUUAACCACAAGAACUCAUACCACAAGGACUAGGGGUCACCAAAUGAAAUUAAUAGGCAGCAGGUUUAAAAUAAACAAAAGGAAGCAUUUGCACAGUGCACAGUGAACCCGUGGAACUCUUUGCCAGAGGAUGUUGUGAAGGCCAAGAUUAUAACAGGGUUCAAAAAAGAACUAGAUAAAUUCAUGGAGGAUAGGUCCAUCAAUGGCUGUUAGCCAGGAUGGGCAGGGAUGGUGUUGCUAGCCUCUGUUUGCCAGAAGCUGGGAAUGGGCAACAGGGAAUGGAUAACCUGAUGACUUCCUGUUUCUGUUCAUUUCCUCUGAAGCACCUGACUUUGGCCUCUGUGAGAAGACAGGAUACUGGGUUAGAUGGACCUUUAAUCUGACCCAGUAUGGCUGUUCUUAUGUUCACAAAUAUUAAUGAUGAUUGAAAAAACAUGAAAGCACUAACCUAGGGCAAAGUCUUCACAUUUAAGGACCAUAUUCUUAGCUGGUAGAAAUUGGUGCAUGCUGACUUACGCCAGCUGAGAAUCAGGACCUUAUUGUCUACCUUUAGCACCCAGCACUGAAAAUGUUUAUUAACAUGUUCUUUAUUUCUAUGUAUUCCCAUUGUACAAUAUAUUUCAGGUGAAUGAUUACCCAAAAUAUCAAGAAGAUAGAACUACAGUUUCUUAUUAAUUUUCAUUGCUAAUAUACUAAUAGCCAUGAUUUACAAUACAAGUGCAGAAACUAUAUAAUUUAAUCAGUUAUAGGUUUAACAUGACAUUUUAUUUCCUGACAAUUGAAACCAUGAGACUGUGUAGGUCAGCCUUAUUAUAUGUGGUUUUUCAUGUUAUUUUAAAGACCAUGUUAUAUUUUAAUGUACACACUGUGAGAAUACCUACAAAUAGUUGGAUUCCAAAUCCUUUCAGUAGAAGAUAAAGGUUAUGUUGUGUGUCACUUGAAAGGUAAGUUUCCCUAGCUGUGCAAUAAAUUCUUAGAUUUGACUAAAGAGCUUGAUGUCAUCAUGAUUUGGCCAAUUUUAAUAAUCCUGCUCUUCUAACUAGCAUGGGUACCUGCAUGGCCCCACAGUAUGCCAACAUUUUUAUGGCUGACUUAGAACAAUGCUUCCUCAGCUCUUGUCCCCUAAUGUUCCUACUCUACUUACGCUACACUGAUGACAUCUUCAUAAUAUGGACCCAUGGGAAGGAGGCCCUUGAGGAAUUCCACCAGGAUUUCAACAAUUUCCACCCCACCAUCAACCUCAGCAUGAACCAGUCCACACAAGAGAUCCAUUUCCUAGACACUACAGUGCAAAUAAGAGAUGGUCACAUAAACACCACCCUAUACCGGAAACCACUCACCACUAUACUUAUCUACAUGCCUCCUGCUUUCAUCCAGAGCACAUCAGAUGAUCCAUUGUCUACAGCCAAGCUCUAAGAUACAACCGCAUUUGCUCCAAUCCCUCAGAGACAAACACCUACAUGAUCUCUAUCAUGUGUUCUUAAAACUACAAUACCCACCUGCUGAAGUGAAGAAACACAUUGAAAGAGCCAGAAGGGUACCCAGAAGUCACCUACUACAGGACAGGCCCAACAAAGAAAGCAACAGAAUGCCACUAGCCAUCACCUACAGCCCCCAACUAAAACCUCUCCAAAGCAUCAUUAAGGAUCUACAACCUAUCCUGAAGGACGAUCCGUCACUCUCACAGACCUUGGGAGACAGGCCAGUCCUCGCUUACAGACAGACGCCCAACCUGAAGCAAAUACUCACCAGCAACUACACACCACACAACAAAAACACUAACCCAGGAACCAAACCCUGCAACAAACCCCAGUGCCAACUAUGUCUGCAUAUCUGCCUACCAUCAUAGGACCUAACCACAACAGCCACACCAUCAGGGGUUUUGUUAGGAUAUAGAUUUUCAGGCCUGUUUGCAAAGGCCUGUAUUGUAAGAAUUUAGGUGUAUUCUGAUCACUUGGCUAGUUACAGAGGUAUAAAAGAAAGAAUCAAAAUCACUGUCUGCCAGUGUAAUGUCCUUGUCUUACUGUGACAGUUUGAGGCCCUGUGCUUAGGCUAAGGCCUUUGGCUAAGCAACAGAGGCAGCCAUAAGCUGGGAAGUGAACGGUCACAUCCUCACAUUCCAAACUAGUCACAUUGAAAUAAGGUGCUACUGGGCUGUUAGGAAUAUAAUCCUGUCCUGAUAGUGCCUAUCGCCUCCAGAGAAAGGGAAGUGCCUAGAAAAUGUAAAAGGAAACUUAGUUUGAUAGCAUCCUGUCUGGCAAGAACUCACUUAUCAAUAGCUGGGAUGUGAAAUCCUCACUUCUGUAUUGUUUUGUCAUUAUAGUUCCCACUUUGCUAUUGUUUGUCUGUAUAAUCUCUGUCUGGUUCUGUGAUUGUUCCUGUCUGCUGUAUAAUUAAUUUUGCUGGGUGUAAACUAAUUAAAGUGGUGGGAUAUAAUUGGUUACAUAAUCAUGUUACAAUAUGUUAGGAUUGGUUAGUUAAAUUUCAGGAAAAUGAUUGGUUAAGAUAUAGCAAAGCAGAACUCAAGUUUUACUAUAUAGUCUGCAGUCAAUCAGGAAGUGAGGUUGUGUGUGUGUGUGGGGAAAAUGGGAACAGGGAAUGUGGGUAAGGAAACUGGAAUCAUGUUUUGCUAAAGGGGGAGAUGGGAACAAGGAAUGUGGGUAAGGAAAUUGGAAUCAUGUUUUGCUAAAGGGAGAAAUGGGAACAGGGAAUGGAAGAAAGCAAUUGGAAUCAUGUUUGGCUAAGGGCAGGAAUGGGAACAGGGACACAGGUGUAAGGCUCUGUGGUAUCAGAGCUGGGAAGGAGGAUACUAAGGAAGGAAACUGGAAUCAUGCUUGCUGGAAGUUCACCCCAAUAAACAUCGAAUUGUUUGCACCUUUGGACUUCGGGUAUUGUUGCUCUCUGUUCAUGCGAGAAGGACCAGGGAAGGAAGAGGGUGAAGGAAUAAGCCCCCUAACAGGUUUGUUUACUUGCACAUCCUACCAAUGUGAUAUGUGCCAGCAAUGUCCCUCUGCCAUGUACAUUGGCCAAAGCAGACAGUCUCUUUGAAAAGAAUAAAUGCACACAAAUCAGAGAUCAAAAAUUGUAACAUUCAAAAACCAGUAGGAAAGCAUGACAUUCUCCCUGGACACUCAAUAACAGACUUAAAAGUGGCCAUUCUUCAACAAAAAACCUUCAAAUACAGAUUUCAAUGAGCAACUGCAGAACUGGAAUUAAUUUGCAAACUGGACACCAUCAAAUUAGGCCUGAAUAAAGACUGGGAGUUGAUGGGACACUACAAAAAGUAAUUUUCCCUCUGCUGGUACUCACACCUUCUUGUCAACUGUUGGAAAUGGCCAACAUCCACCUUAAUUGAAUUGACCGCGUUAGCACUGACGCCUGACUUGGUAAGGCAACCCCCCCCAUCUUUUCAUGUGCUGUGUAUAUAUAUAUACACACAUAUAUACACACACACACACACUGCUUACUGUAUUUUUCACUCCAUGAAUCUGAUGAAGUGGGUUUUAGCCCAUGAAAGCUUAUGCCCAAACAAAUUUGUUAGUCUAUAAGGUGCCACAAGGACUCCUCAUUUUUUUUUAAGUUGUCAAACAUUUUCUAAAGGAAAAGCUCUGGUUUUCUGGUUUGGAAUGACUUUUUUUAUUGAAAUUUAAGCUAAAUUAGAUUGAAAGGGGUAAAAAAAAAGUUGAAACUUAAACAAAAUGUUUUGAAACCAUGGAAAGAAUUCAACAAAAAUGGUGGGGAGGGGAUGGGAAUGUGUGUUUUUUCUGUUUCAUAAAUAUUUUUGAGAUUCCAACUUUUCCUCCUGAUUGGAGAUGGCAAAACAAUUACAAACUCUCAGAAAUAUUUGUGGGAUGAGAAAACUGUUUCCCACAUAGUUCUAGUGGUGAGGCUUUAAUUAGUUAAUAUUUGUAAAGUGCUUUGAUAUGCUCUAAGCAAGGAAGGUAGAGCUUACUAUUUUAAAGUCAGUUUAUCUGCAUAUGCAUUUUUGUUGUAUUAGCUAAUUAACAAAUAAGAACAUUCAUCUGAUAUAUAGUUUAUUUCCCUAGAUUGCUAGAGUAUGUUAAUCCCACGCUAUCUUUGAAGUCAAAGAAAUUACACCUACUUAUGCCAUUGUAAAUUUUGCAGUUACAAUUCAGCUGUAUAUCACAAUCUUAUUCACUCACUGUCACCAGCAGUCACUUCCUGUCCCUUCAUCACCAAAGCCAAAACUUUUGUGCAGACCCUCAUCAUGUCCCCCUUUACUACUUUGACACUCAGGUUCACUCUUCUUCCAUUCAAAAUGGAGCAUUGAUGGUCAACUUUCUUUACUAUUAUUCUGAUCCUCAGCUCUGAUGGCACAAGUGAACAUUGGUAAAGGAGUUUUUAUUACUGGGAAGGGCCACACUUUCAUAUAUUAUCAAAUUAUAAUUGGUAAAUAUACCAUCUGCAUUUGAUGAAAACUAAAAAAGUAAAAUUGUAAACUGAGGACAGAUUAAUGUGAAAUUACUAUUGGACAUAAUACCUUCAUUUGUCAAUUAAGA